UGCUUCUUCUGGAGCUGCAAUAAAUUCCUAGAGGAAAGGCAGGUACAAGCAAGCUGGAGCACUACAUUGUGUGCCGACCUACGGCUUCCGCGACGGCGAAGAGGCCGACUGCUGUGCGGCAGCGCCGCCACAAACGAUGCACCGUACGGCAACUCGCUGUUUCUUUAGCAGCUUCACCAGGGGCUUCUCCAAGGGGUUUUGGAAAGAAUUUGGCGGUGCCCCUGGUGGGUUGGGCGGCAGCAGUGGAAGCGGUGGGGCCAGUCUUUUUGCCCGCAAGGGCGGAAGCUCUGGUAGUAACGGCGGCAACAUCUUUGGUGGGUUCGGUGGCGGCAGCGGUUUCCCGCCUGGCGGGCCUCUCGGCGGAUUCUUGGACAAGGCGCUCGAAUGGUGCAGCGAGUCGCACGCCCGCGACAUUGCACGCGAGAUGGGCGUGGAUCUGCGCGACAUUCGCUUUGAUAAAACUCCCGAGGGCGGAAUUAACGUCAUGGUGGAUGCUCCUAAGGCGACACCACUGCAGAUUGAGCAACUCGGCAAACGUGUGCAGGAGGAGUGUCCGGUGGCGCGCUUCCGCAAAACUCAAGUCAACUCACCGAAGCAUGAAAUGAAAUGGGUGCAGUUGCCCCCCCGGUACGAUCGAUGACAAAGAGGCGGCGCUGAUGAGCGAAAAAAACGCCUCUCGCGGCUGCCCGGCAGCAUCCUUCGUUCCGUCCAUCACAUUUGCUAUUUUUCCUACGUGACACCAACAGCCCGAGCACAGAGGCGAACGUGUUUUCAUGAGCAAAACUCGAACUUCUCUGGCGUUCUCUCUUUCGUGUGUUCUUUUUUUUUUGCUACAGCUGGAUUGUUUCAUGAAUAUUUGCACGUCUGCGCACCCAUAGC
rnacentral:misc_RNA from 1 species